CCUACGGGUGGCUGCAGUGGGGAAUAUUGGACAAUGGGGGGAACCCUGAUCCAGCCAUGCCGCGUGUGUGAAGAAGGCCCUCGGGUUGUAAAGCACUUUCAGUGAGGAAGAACGCCUGGUGGUUAAUACCCAUCAGGAAAGACAUCACUCACAGAAGAAGCACCGGCUAACUCCGUGCCAGCAGCCGCGGUAAUACGGAGGGUGCGAGCGUUAAUCGGAAUUACUGGGCGUAAAGCGCGCGUAGGUGGCUUGAUAAGCCGGUUGUGAAAGCCCCGGGCUCAACCUGGGAACGGCAUCCGGAACUGUGAAGCUCGAGUGCAGGAGAGGAAGGUAGAAUUCCCGGUGUAGCGGUGAAAUGCGUAGAGAUCGGGAGGAAGACCAGUGGCGAAGGCGGCCUUCUGGACUGACACUGACACUGAGGUGCGAAAGCGUGGGUAGCAAACAGGAUUAGAUACCCCUGUAGUC
rnacentral:rRNA from 1 species